rnacentral:rRNA from 1 species
GACAGAGGGUGCAACCGUUGUUCGGAAUUACUGGGCGUAAAGCGAGUGUAGGCGGUUUGGUAAGUCGGAUGUGAAAGCCCCGGGCUCAACCCGGGAAGUGCACUCGAUACUGCCAAGCUAGAGUGUCGGAGAGGUUGGUGGAAUUCUCGGUGUAGAGGUGAAAUUCGUAGAUAUCGAGAGGAACACCGGUGGCGAAGGCGGCCAACUGGACGAACACUGACGCUGAGACUCGAAAGCGUGGGGAGCAAACAGG